rnacentral:lncRNA from 1 species
AAAUGGCGACUCCGCUGGGGAUCAUUUAGAGGGCCAAGCUUGAACUUAUGAUGAAGCAAAUGUGACAUUUGAUUGGUCGAUCAGUAGGUACCUACCUCUUGAUUGCAUUGAGAGCUCUCGAUAUCAUUGGAUGCAUGCUUGGAUAUUGUAUUUAUUUGAGAUAUUGACAUGCUAAUUAUGAUGAUUGAUUAUCUUGAUUGAGG